rnacentral:misc_RNA from 1 species
GGCACCUAUUUCUGCCUCCAGGCCGCUGGACUGGGCAAGCCGGUGAGGCUCGGCGUCAUCUGCACAGAAGAAAACAGCCAAUGGGAGAUGGUCGGGGAUUCAAAGAAGACCCACCUAUCGUCCAAGCUCGCCGACGGCACUGCCAUUUGCUUGGACGUCGAACAAGACGGAACAAUCGUCUCUAACCCUUGUAAAAGGCAGGCUAGUGGUGAGGAACGUGAUAACCAGUGGUUCCAUAUGUUAACAGGCCCUUGGAGUGCAGAUGAUGCCGAAAAUGAGGUUUCUCGUGCUGCCAGUGAAUCAAACUAAAAGACCAAUGGAAUGGUCGACAUCAAAUACACCAACAUCCAAGUCAGGGAUUGUAAAACUAAAUAAUGAUGUGGGGAUCUCAACGAUGAACUAGAUUUA